rnacentral:rRNA from 1 species
GGCAGUCAGAGUAGGUAAAUCCGCUUUGAUAAUGCUGGGAUGUGAUGGGGAGCGAAAUUUAGUAGCGAAGUAGCUGAUUUCACACUGUCGAGAAAAGUCUCUAUCGAGGUUAAAGGUACCCGUACCGCAAACCGACACAGGUGGGUGAGGAGAGUAUCCUAAGGCCCGCGAGAGAACUGUUGUUAAGGAACUCGGCAAAAUGACCCCGUAACUUAGG